rnacentral:rRNA from 1 species
GUGACUGCGUACCUUUUGUAUAAUGGGUCAGCGACUUAUAUUUUGUAGCGAGGUUAACUGAAUAAGGGAGCCGAAGGGAAACCGAGUCUUAACUGGGCGAAGAGUUGCAAGGUAUAGACCCGAAACCCGGUGAUCUAGCCAUGGGCAGGUUGAA